rnacentral:pre_miRNA from 1 species
AUAAUGUAGUACCGGCCCCUGGUCGACAGCUUAAUAUUAUCUAGAGUUAAAAGUGAUAGUAUUAGUUGUGCGACCAGUAGACGGUAUGAUCAUGUU